GCCCCUCAGGUCCUGAAUGACCGGAAAUGGCCCCAACCUAUGAUUGAGUGAGGCUGAAAGGGCUGCUUUUAGCUCCAGCUGUUUUCUUUUAAAAUCUUAGGAUGGAACUCAGGCCUCGAGGCUGAGCCUAUUUUUAAAGUAAAACUUCCUCCGUAGGAAAGGAUGUACUCUGCUCAGGGUACGUUGUAACACCUAAAGUCUCACUUCCACUCCACGGAGCGUGAACAGCCAAAAGGGCCUUCACCAUGCUGAGUCCUAUAGCCCAACGACGGCUCCGGAUGCAAGACCCAGGGCCUUACUUCCGGGAGCCUUGAACACCCCAAAAGGCCUCCAAGAUGUUGGGACCUAACUCAGUGAGGCUCCGGAAGCUCGACAAGAACACACCAGGUCCAGGAAGGAUAAAGACAAUCCAAGAAAGGGAGACCCAUUGUGAAGUUAUCCAACCAGAAAUGCACAGAGGUAAAAUAUUGUUUCCCUUUUUCAAGUGCUCCAACAUAGAUUCAUCUUCCAGGGAGAGGCACUAUUGGGACAUUUCCUAUCAGUCAGCCCCAGAUACCUGGCUUAGACUACAAAAACUUCAGAUGGGGCCACAGACACCUAUGGCCCAACAGCUGGACAUGACCUUUUCUUUGAUCAACAAUUGGAACCCAGAAGAGUGACAAAGAGAGAGGCUAAGAUUAAAGCUGUCUCAACUAGUAAUGCUUUAAACCCAUUCAUAUCAUCUAAGGAAAAAAAAAAAAGGAAGGAUAACCAAGGAAAGGGUUCUUACUUCAAGUGCAAAGGAACUAGACACUGGGCACAAAAUUGCACCAAGCCUCUGCCUGGGCCCUGCUCUGUAUGUGAGACAGCUAAUGCACCUGACUCAUGACAUUGGAUCUUUGAGUAUCUCUGCUCCCAGAGAGGGGCUAGGCCAGCCAAAACCUUCAUUUACCAAAGAGGCUCAGGGGAACCUGCAGUGCCCCUGUCCGCAGACAUCAUCAUCUUCUCACAGGAACCCUGGGGAACCCUGGAGGUCAUGGGUGAGCCAAUUCAACU
rnacentral:lncRNA from 1 species